rnacentral:rRNA from 1 species
CAGUAGCCGCGGGAAUACGUAGGUGGCAAGCGUUGUCCGGAAUUAUUGGGCGUAAAGGGCGCGUAGGCGGACUGAUAAGUCAGGGGUGAAAUCCCAAGGCUCAACCUUGGAACUGCCUUUGAUACUGUUUGUCUUGAGUUCGAGAGAGGUAAGUGGAACUGCGAGUGUAGAGGUGAAAUUCGUAGAUAUUCGCAAGAACACCAGUGGCGAAGGCGGCUUACUGGCUCGAAACUGACGCUGGGGAGCGAAAGCGUGGGGAGCGAACAGGAUUAGAUACCCGAGUAGUCCCUGUCUCUUAUAC